rnacentral:lncRNA from 1 species
CACACAGGAAUGGUUGGAGAGAUGGACUCACUAGCUAUCAGAUCUGGAAACCAGUACAACAACCAAAGAAGACACCUAGAUAUGCCAUGGAAACUAAAUCUGGCAGUUCAUCAAAACUAAAUCUGGUAAAACACAAUCUUAAAAAUGUCAAACGUAAUUCAAGAAGAGUUACAAAUUCUGGAGAUGGAGAUCCUACUGUCGAGAAGAUAGAGCUGGCUCCAAUAGGUAUGGUCAAUCCAGAAAGACGUCAAUAUAGGAAGGGGAAGUCGGUCGACAAGAAGGAUGAAGAUCGAUUUGAUUUUUGCGAAAUGAUGAACCAAGCAAUGACGGUAUAUAUGCCUCGAUCAAAGAUUGAUAUCAUUAUGAAAUAUCGCAAAGAGAAACCUCCAACUUUGACGCCUGGUUACAUGAUGCCAACUAUAUCUGCUAUUACAAAAAUCCAUGAUAGUUAUGGAUCUGCUCAUCGGAAUUAUUUGGAGAUUUUGAAGAAUGAAAGAAGGAAGAGUCCUUAAAUAAUAAUGCAAGAUUAGCAGUUAU